rnacentral:rRNA from 1 species
AGAGUUUGAUCCUGGCUCAGGGUUAACGCUGGCGGCGCGCAUAACACAUGCAAGUCGAGCGAGGGCUCAUUCCCCGCAAGGGGAGUGGGUUCCUAGCGGCGAACGGGUGAGUAACACGUGGGCAACCUUUCCUAUCGCGGGGGAUAACAGCGGGAAACCGCUGCUAAUACCGCAUGUCGUCAUCGGUCGCAUGGCCGGUGAAGAAAGCAGCAAUGCACGAUGGGGUGGGCCCGCGGCCUAUCAGCUAGUCGGUGGGGUAACGGCCUACCGAGGCGAUGACGGGUAGCUGGUCUGAGAGGACGACCAGCCACACGGGGACUGAGACACGGCCCCGACUCCUACGGGAGGCAGCAGUGAGGAAUCUUCCGCAAUGGGCGAAAGCCUGACGGAGCGACGCCGCGUGUGGGAUGAAGUCCUUCGGGAUGUAAACCACUGUUGGAGGGGAAGACUUCGACGGUACCCUCCGAGAAAGCCCCGGCUAACUACGUGCCAGCAGCCGCGGUAAUACGUAGGGGGCUAGCGUUAUCCAGAUUUACUGGGCGUAAAGCGCGUGUAGGCGGCUGGUUAAGUGUGAUGUGAAAUCCUCGGGCUCAACCCGAGAACUGCAUUGCAAACUGGCCUGGCUAGAGUGCAGGAGAGGGAAGCGGAAUUCCAGGUGUAGCGGUGAAAUGCGUAGAUAUCUGGAGGAACACCAGUGGCGAAGGCGGCUUCCUGGCCUGUAACUGACGCUGAGACGCGAAAGCGUGGGGAGCGAACCGGAUUAGAUACCCGGGUAGUCCACGCCCUAAACGUUGCGAACUAGGUGUUGGUCGGAUUGACCCGAUCAGUGCCGCAGCUAACGCAUUAAGUUCGCCGCCUGGGGACUACGGCCGCAAGGUUAAAACUCAAAGGAAUAGGCGGGGGCCCGCACAAGCAGCGGAGCGUGUGGUUUAAUUCGAGGCAACGCGAAGAACCUUACCUGGGCUUGACAUGUAGAGGAAACGUCGUGAAAGCCGGCGCCCCCUCGCAGA